UGAAACAGCCCCCAGCUGUCGUGCGACUCCCUGUUGCUUGGGUUGUCUUGAUUGGUCACAAGUGUGUCUUGUUAUUCAUUAGUCUGCAGAGCCCUUGUGUUUCAUAGUUCUUGGUUUAGGUUUCUCACCGAGCUGUAACUGCUGAUUGGUCAGAGACGAGAGCUCGUGCGUCACAUGACAAAGUCUUUGCUGCCCUCUGGUGGACAACAUGAGACACUGACUGUAGGGUGCGUUGAUCACGUGACUGGCCAGAUCAAAGAGUGACUGCUCAAUCUGUGUAUGCUGCAUUAUUUUCAGC